UUUAGUUCAGGUCCUUGUGAGGUAUUGUGUCUUUCCAGAACAACUGAGUGUUCACUUUGGAUAUUGUUUUGUUGGAUUCUGACUACCUUCUGUGUUUUGGACUUUGCCUGUUUGCCUUUGCCCCUUGAAUUCUGUUUGCCUGAGUGACACUGAAUGCAUUAUCUGAGAGAUACAGAGGGAUAGAGGCAGAGUGUCUGCAGCUGUGAGCAACUGAAGACCUGUGAGUAAGUGACAUCGCUGAGCUCAUCUGCUGCUUCACCUGAUACAGAAUACAGUGUAUGAGUUACUAUAAGUGGAGUCAAACAUGUUUAACAUGAUAUAGUUACUUUUGCACCUCUUACCUGCUCUUUGCAUAGUGUCAUAAACAUGGACAUCUCCUACAGAAAAGAACAAGAACAGACAAAUAUUGAACUCCAUAAACAAUGGGAGCUCUGUACUUUUAAAAAUUAAAAUCACAAACUGGCUUGUUGCCUGCACUGGCAGGUGUCCAGACUGAGAGUCCUCAGCUCCUGACUCUCUCUGGUUCUGAACUGACAUCUGAUUGAUGUUCUCCAGAUGCCCUGAAGAGGGAUAAAGAGAUUCAUCAUCUGGUUGACACAGUAAUUUGUGUUUCUAACCAAUGUUUAAUCAUGUACAAGUUAUCUGAAUGAGUUAUCAGACCUUUGUGAGUUCUGUAGCACCACAGGAGUAUCAGUAAAAUGAUGAACAA